rnacentral:rRNA from 1 species
GACGAACGCUGGCGGCGUGCUUAACACAUGCAAGUCGAACGGAAAGGCCCUGCUUUUUUGGUCUGCUCGGGUGGCGAACGGGUACGUAACACGUAAAUAACCUACCCUUGACUUUGGUAUAACUUCAGGAAGCUGGAGCUAAUACCAGAUAGCAUCUCCUCCUGCAGUGUAGGGAUUGGAACGUUUCAGCUGUUGGGGUUGGACGCGCGGGUUAACGGCUUGUUGGUUGGGUAGUUGCUUACCAAGGCUUUGACCGGUCCCCGGCCUGAGAGGGUGACUGGCGACAAUGGGACUGAGAUACGGCACAGACGCCUAUGGGAGGCAGCAGGGGGGAGUAUUGCACAAUGGGAGGAAGUCGGAUGAAGAAACGCCGCGGUCGGGAUGACGGCCUUCGGGGUGUAAAACGCAGUAGCCUGAUACGAAGCGGGUGUGACGGUAAUGGGUAAAGAAGCACCGGCUAACUACGUG